GCUCAUCCCAAGUGCCCUCCUCAAUGCCAGUGAUGGCCAUUCCCACUUCCACCCCCAACCCCCAUCAACCCUCAGUUCUCUGUAUUUAACUGGAGGGAUUAGAUAGCCAGCGUUUUCCACACGAGGGCAUUUCAGACCCUUGAGCAUUUCAAAGAUUUUUAACUUACUCAUCUAAGGGCAGUCCCUUGUUUAUGUUCUUGUGUGCAUACUCCAACAUUGAAGAUUCUGCAGUUCGUCUUCAGGACUUUUUUUUUGCUUUCUUCCUCUUCUUCUCCUCCUCCUCCUCCCCCUCCCCCUCCCCUCUCCCUCCUCGUCCCCUCCCCUCUCCCUCCUCGUCCCCUCCCCCCCCCCCCCUCCUCCUCCUCCUCCUCCUCUUCUUCUUUUUAACGGGAGGCGGCGAUAGUGACCUGUCUUUGCGCACGACUAACAAGCAAAGGAAGGCUGUAUGCAGUUCUCGUGGUGCCUCUGAGACAGCAGCAACCCCUAGAGCUGCUCUGGAGAAGUUCAAGAGAUAAAAAGAGCUGGGAUCUAGGAAGAGGAAGGAAACCAGCCAGGCAGGGUGUAAGACAGUGAUGAGAAUGGGGAAAAGUCCACAAAAGACUCUGAAUAGCCAAAGUAAUGUUGAAAAAGAAAACCAAAGCUGGAGGCA